CUUCCUACCCGAUACAUAGCUUCAUGUUCCGAUCGCGUCCUGUCAGCCUGGUUUUAGCCAUACUUGCAUCGAAGUCGCUCGUUUUAUCAUUAUCACAGUAUAUUAAUAUAAUCAUAUUUCUGGAGCGUUUUUUUUAAAUAUGUCUUGUUGAAAUUUCUGUGUUCAGUUUUUUUGUUGUCUCUUAGCUAGCUAGCUAUUAACACGCUAACUAGUAAGGUGGCUAGCAAUUAGCCAACGCACCCCUCCCUUACCAACCAUGGCACUGUUUUACUCAAGCCGCUUGCAAGAGCUGGGAAAAGGAUGUAGUAAAGUACCGACUUCAACUAUGAAGGUUGUACCGAAGCCCUCUGAGCCAGUAACAAUGACACAUCACUGUUCAUGUGUUGCUGGCAUUGCAUUAUGCAACCACACAAUUGCAUUACUAUUCCAAGAUGGGAACACCAGUCGUGUGCACAGAGGCCGAGCAGCAGUGGCAUAAGCCAAGGACUAUGGUUCUGCCCAUAGGCAAAAUGUCAAUCAUCAAGGCCACCAAAAAGCGCAUGGCAGGAGGAGGGAUUAGGUGGUUUUAAGUACAUUGUUUAGAUUGGCUAACCACAGCAGCUGCUUUGCAGAAGUACACUCUACAGCGCCCUUCUUGGAACGCUCCCUGACCUCUCAGUUCUCCAGAUAGAAGAGGCAUACAAGAACUUUGACCCUCUAUCCAAGCCAUUGAUCUGCAACAUGGGGAUGUCUACUGAAAAGCUUUGUCGACUUCCACUUUGGAAAGGUACAGGUGGGGAGCCUCCUGUCUUACCAGCAGCCUCCAAUCACAACGUGACCAUAAGGAAACACCACCAUUUCCUUCACUGCCCCUGGAUGGCUACAGACUGGAGAGCAACUUUCAAGGCUGCACAUUUGUGCUUAGUGAAGAAGACCAACUUCACAUAGUCUCUUCAGGUGAGAGAAUACAUAGACCCAGUGGUGUUCUCACUAAUUAGAGAGAAGGGUGACUGGUACUACUUAUGUGUACAUGCAAAAGUUGUUAUGCAGGAAAUACUAAAUAACAAGGGACAGGCUCCUCUAUCUCUCAAUUAAUGAAAGGGAAACAAACCAACAUCUGUCUGUGCAAUUAAUUAAUAAAUCAUUUAAAAUUCA